AUUGAACGCUGGCGGCAGGCCUAACACAUGCAAGUCGAGCGGAGCGGCGGACGGGUGCGUAAUGCCUGUGAAUCUGCCUGGUAGUGGGGGAUAACGUUCGGAAACGGGCGCUAAUACCGCAUACUAUCAGAUGAGCCUCGGUCGGAUUAGCUAGUUGGUGGGGUAAAGGCAUACCAAGGCUACGAUCCGUAACUGGUCUGAGAGGAUGAGCAGUCACACUGGAACUGAGACACGGUCCAGACUCCUACGGGAGGCAGCAGUGGGGAAUAUUGGACAAUGGGGGAAAGCCUGAUCCAGCCAUGCCGCGUGUGUGAAGAAGGUCUUCGGAUUGUAAAGCACUUUAAGUUGGGAGGCGGUACCUGCAGAAUAAGCACCGGCUAACUACGUGCCAGCAGCCGCGGUAAUAC
rnacentral:rRNA from 1 species